UAGCGUAUAUUAAAGUUGUUGCAGUUAGAACGCUCGUAGUCGGAUUUCGGGGCGGGCCGACCGGUCUGCCGAUGGGUACGCACUGGUCGGCGCGUCCUUCCUUCCGGAGACCGUUCCUACUCUUAACUGAGCGGGGUCGGGAGACGGAUCGUUUACUUUGAAAAAAUCAGAGUGUUUCAAGCAGGCAACUCGCUCUUGCAUGGAUUAGCAUGGGAUAAUGAAAUAGGACUUUGGUGCUAUUUUGUUGGUUUCGAACACCGAAGUAAUGAUUAAUAGGGACAGUCAGGGGCACUCGUAUUCCGCCGAGAGAGGUGAAAUUCUCAGACCAGCGGAAGACGAACCACUGCGAAAGCAUUUG
rnacentral:rRNA from 1 species